rnacentral:lncRNA from 1 species
UUAAAAGUUUUCAUGAAUUGAGUUGCGAGUAGCCGAGUACCAACCUUUGAUUAAAUGAAUUUAAGAUAUCUCUAUCCUUGCCUUAAUUAGGAGAGAUUAUGUUAGGUAUUGGGUUUGGCUCAUUAAUGUCUCUUCUAACGGAUUUUCCACAUAAGCAUAUUGUAACCAAUUCUCCAAUUCACCUACUUAUUUGAGAGAACUGUUUGUUGUCUAUUCAAGCUAGGAGAAGCUAAUGCUUUAAGAAUUGUUGAGAGUCCUUGCAGCUCAAGUUUGUGUUCAUGGAGGAACAUAUUGGGAUUCUUGUAUUUGAAGGAGGUCUUACAGAUGACGAUGGGGGGUUUAUGAUCAUGACAGGCUACAGUUAUCCUAACAUAGAUUAUUGAUUAUUUGAGAGAACUACACCCCCAAUGCGUCAGACAGGUCGCAUGCCUUUUCUAAGGAAUCAAAUAUUGAUGGGGCCACCUUUAUCGAUGUUGGCCUAUUUAUCAGCACAAGAGUUCAUAAAUAUAAGAUGUGGAGUGAUGUCUCUGUUCAGACCCCAUAGGAUCUGAAAGGUUAGAUUGAUAAUGAGGUUUGGAGUCGAAGCAUGACGUAAGGAGAGAACCAAAGCAAGGAAGAGUAGUGGGGAGUAUUGUAUACUGUAAAGCGGAUAGAUAGAGAUAGAAAAAAGUAUUUGUGUUAGUGGAGUUGGAGUACCAGUUUGUACAGAGAAAAUGGGAAAGGUUAUAGAUUAUAGAAUCAAUAUGCUUCUUUCUUGAAUUGGUAACAUUGUCCCUUUCAGUUGCUUCUGUGGUUGAAGAUGUGCUUCAACAACACGGUACUCGCCUCAAAGAUCUUGAUUUGGAAUCUAGAAAUGUGGAAUAAGCUGGUAUUUUCCUUGGAAUAAUUAGUUUUCAGUUUUUUUUUCAUUAAUGUCUCAAAUUAUCAUCCUUUUCUAUAUGAUAUUGAUUUUAAUGAAGGUUGAUAUUUGUCAAUAUUAUAUUAAAAAGAUAUCUGGAUUUUGUAUCAGCUAUUUUGAGACUGAAAAAUAAAUUCUAUAAAAUGCAACAUUUAGAAGAUAUGAAGCAGCAUGGUGGUUGAGAAAAAAUGGUUGGAGUUGUUGCAGCUAAAUAUUUACCCGUAGAGACUUCUAAGGAAGAGUUUCGGCUUUGUUUGAGGAGUGGGAUCAUUCUUUGUAAUGUUCUUAACAAAGUUCAACUAGGUGAUGUAUUCAACGUCAAUUUGGAUGUUCCUUAUUUUAUUUACUCUAUGUUUUUGGUUAUUAUUUGUUUAGUUAUGUAAAUUAUGUAUUAUUCUUUAUAGGUUGCAGAGUCAUUAUCUGCAUUUUAGUAUUUUGAAAACGUUAGAAACUUUCUAGUGGCUGUUCAGGAAAUUAGAAUUCCUACAUUUGAAGAAUUUGAUAUGGAACAAGUAUGUAAAGGAUCAUAUGUUUAAUACUGUUAGAAUUUCAAGAUUAUUAGAAUUUAUGAAUCUGUAUUGCAUUUAACUUAAGGUAUGUUUGACGUGUUUUCUAUAUGUAAGUCCCUAAAAUUGGUCCAUUGCUUGCAAUUGCAUAUUCAUUUACCCUGCACAUUGUAUACCCCCAUCUCUUAUUAAUAUUUAUUUGAUUACUUCCCUGGUUCUACCCAUUGUAUUAAUAUUAUACCUCUCACCUCAUCAAAUGUAAGGAUGGAUCAAAAGCCUUCUCCAUUGACCGUCUUAACGAUAAUUUCUGUGAUUGCCCUGAUGGCACUGAUAAACCUGCUAUGUAUGCUAUCAUAAUAUAGUAUCAAAUAUUUUUUAAAUUUUAUGAAAAUUUUCAGAUUGAAUCUACUCAAUAAUAAAUAGUAUUAAAUAGAUGUUUGAAUCAAUGAAGUUCAAUGUCUACAGCUUGUCCAGUAGGGAAGUUUUAUUGUAGAAACAUAGGAAGGAAACGGACUAAAGCUUCAUCACAAUUUAGGUUAUAGUUGACUCUUGUAGGAUUAGGACCAUUUGUUAAGGACAUAUGCAUUCAAUAUUUAAAUUCUCUCUCAAAAAUUUCAAGCUCGCUAGAAAUGCUACAAGUCUUCCUCAUAUUAUAAGAGGCUGAAGAAAGGUUCAAUUCUGACACAAUGCCGAUAGAGAGGGUGUGUAGCCAGAAAAGAACUUAGGAACCUAAAAAUGGAAAGUUCCAAACUUAGGAACCUCAUAUAUAAAAAUUAAGUUGCUUCUAUAUGACUCAUCAAUUAAUAUUUAAGCAGUCUCAUUUUUUAUUUAUUUAUGUUUUUUGUGUUUCUCUCUACUCUCAGUUGAUAUCUGUUUCCAUUUGCUUUAGGCUGUAAGAGAAACUGACGCACUUAAAGAAGGGAAUGAUAAACUUGAAAAACGAGUGGAGGAACUCAUGUGGGGCCUCCAACUAGAAAAAAGUUUAAGGGUGAGAUAUAAUUUUUUGUAGUUAGAUAAAAUAUCGAGGAUAUUAUUGUUCUUUUAUUUUUCACAAUCACGUCUCAAAUAUUGUAGGAAUAGAUCAAUUCUUUAUUUAUAUUUAUUUAGUUUUUAGUGACAGAUAAUACCAUAGAAAUAGAUAGAUUUUUUAUUUAUAUUUAUCUAGUUUUUAGUGACAGACGAUACCGUAGAAAUAUAUUUAUUCUUUAUUUAUAUUUAUUUAGUUUUUAGUGACAGUGAUUAUUCUAGAUACAAAUCGAAAACAUUUAGUGAUAGUUCCAAAGACAUAGUUAGACGCCCCCUUUAAGUUGACAGUAGAUCCGAGUUUCAAUUUGACAUGUACGGGUACAUUUGGUUUUUAAAUAAAAUGAUUUUUUUUUUAAAAUUAUAUUUUUUUCGUUUAUAUAUUGAAAUAAUUGAAUAUUUUCUAUUAAUGUCAAUAAAUUUUUUUUUUUUUGAGAUUUUUUAUUGCUCAUAAUUGUCAAAUGUUGAAUAUUUUUUACGAUCGAAUAUAAAUUUUUUUUAUAAUGGUUAUAAACAAUGAAAUGAUAUUUCUUGGUAUGAAAUGAUCUAACUUAAACUAUAAAAGUGGGCAAUAACCAUUUUAUUUGAAAAAAUAAUUUUUAAUGUAAGAAAGAAAAAAAAAUAUAGUAAAACUCUUCAACUAGAGAAUGUUAUGUAAAGAAGCUCGCUUGUAUUUGACUUAGUCUUUAAAUUAGUGAAUGUUUCUCUGAAAAGACUACUGCAUUUGAAUUGGUUCUUAAAUUAAGUUUCAAUAUCAAAAUAAUAUUCCCAAUAAAAAAAAAUAUUUAUUUUUAAUAAUUUCAACAAAAAAUAACGAGAAUCUAGGAUUUAAUUAUAUACAUAUUUAUUGUAAAAAGUUGUUACGUUAUCUGUCAAUCACAUUUAUUAGAUGUGUUUGAUUUUUUUCAUAACUAGCCCUAAAAUCAUGUAUAUAAUUAUAGUGAUGUAAUGAUAAUGUAAAAUUUUCUAAAUUGGCUCCGCAUGAAAUUAUUUUUUACUACGACAAUGUAUAACAAAUAAAUUUAAUAUAAAAUAUAAAAUAAAUAAAUGAAAAAUGUUAUUUAUUUCAUUAAUUAUGUUAUUUUUAAACCAUCAAUAUUAUCUUUAAAAAAUAAGCAACAGGUUAUCGAUAGUCAACAUACUUAGAAAAAAAAAUUGAAUUUAAGUUACUCCUAACUAUUUUAAAUUUUGUAACAAAGAUAGAUCAUUCUAACAAAAAGUUUAAAAAAUAAAAUAAAAUUUAACAUGAAACACAAUUGUAAUUGAUAUUAAACUAUAAACACACAUGUAAUAAAGAGAGAACAAUAGCAAAAUCAUGUAUUGCCAAUUGGACACAAAUACAAGAAUAAGAACAAUAACAGUAUGUUGUCAAAAUUGACAAAAUAUCUUAGUAUAUACAUAGCAGUGUUAAUACUAAAGUGACGAUGGCAACAUGCAAAAGAAACAAGUUGUUGUCUUGCAUAUCUUAUCUUGACCUUUUGGUUUGGAAGAAGUCUUUCAUCUCAUGAGCAUGUUCAUCCCUUUUUCUCUUGUUUAUUUUUCUUUCCUCAAGGUCCCAAUCUUUUUUGAGAGACUUCCAUUUGUUUUCAAAAUAUUCACUAAACUUUAACGCAAUUUUAUGAACCUCAUUUCUAGGAGGAUAUAAUAACAUUCUUUGAGAGAAUACAAAUCUGAUGUCAGUAGCAAAUUCAUCGGGUGUUGAAUAGAAUUGCAAUUUAGAUUCAAUAUUCUUCAAACCCAUAGUCUUCAAUUUAGACUUGUUCUCUAAAUUAUCCUUGUCAUGAAAAGCCUUCAAGAACUUGAGAUCAAUAGGGUCUUUUAGAGGCCAGCUAUCUCUUCCAAUCAAAAUCCUCUUCAAAAUCACCCAACAUUGCAUCUUCUUGUAAUGUUGCAUCGGCUUCUUUCUAUUUUCAUUCAUGAUCUCACCGCCAUCAGUCUUCAAGCAACAAUUUUCGGUUCUUGGGUUUCUUGUUUCAUUGAUAAUCUUCUUGGAACAAGAAUCCUUCAUUACUUGCACACCAACUUCUUUAGACAAGAUGGGUUUUGAAUCUUUGACAGAAUCGGUUGUUGUGUUGUUGUUUUGUUGAGACAUAAUAGCUGUUGAAUCUUAAGCGUCAAGCCAGAAACAUGUAACAAUUGGCUUGGAAUGUUCCAUCUUAAUAUCUCCUUGAGAAUGAUUCUUUUGAGAAGAAAACUUGAUUAUAAGUCGCUUACGAGGUUGUUUAGUAUUCUCCAAAUUCAUUACCGAUAAAGAACUCAUUGUGUUAUGUGUAUGGAGAACAAACAAAAGAAAAUGGAACAAGAAUAACAAUGUUCAAUUCAAUUCACUAUAUGUUUGGAGUGUGUUGGCUCUGUUUUUAUAAGGUUAAUAAUCANNNNNNNNNNNNNNNNNNNNNNNNNNNNNNNNUUAAAUUCUAUUUAUCUAUUAUGUGAACUUCAGAUAUUAAGACUCUAUUUACUUAAAAUCAGAGAUUAUAAAAUAAAAAAUUAUAUACCCAAAAACCAACUAAUUCUAAGUUUGCUGCCCCAUUUUUAAAAAGGGGGAAAAAAUUCAAAUUUUUAAAAUGUUAGAAAAAUCUGGUAUUCUAGUUUUUUGAAAAAGUGUAUAAUCUUAAGGGAUAAAAUCCGGUAAAUUCUAAGUUUGCUGCCCUUUUUUUGAAAAUCUGGUAUUCUGUUUCAGAUUUUUAAGGUGUAAAAAAUUUGGAACAUCUUUAUAAUCUUAACUCUUAUUUUAAAAUUUUUAAAGUUUUUAAAUGAAUUUGAGUUUUAAUUUUAAUAUUAUAAGUCUAUUUUUAGAUAUUUGUAUGGUUUACCGAAAUAUGAAAGUUAAGAGUCUGGUGAGUUAACUUAUUAGCUCAUAUAAAAAAAAUGUUUAUUUUAUAAUCAUUAUAAGUUUAUAAUUAUUUUACUAACUUAUAGCAUUUUUUAAUAUGUUACUUCAAGUAGCUUUUUAAUUUGUAGUUUAUCAUAAUUUUUAAUUAAUUUUACUCUUAUUAUUAAAAAAAAAAAUCCCUUUCUAUCCUUUAUAAUUUAGUUGUUAUAAUUUUAUUUAUUUAAAAAAAAUGAGAAGGGAUAAGUUAUUAUUAAACAAAGUGUAAAUAUUCGUCAUUUUACAACUUUCUGAGAUGAGAUUUGACAUUUGUCUCCUAAACUCUUACCGGGAAUUUAUUUAUUUAUUACAAUUUAAAAAAAAUAAAAUAGGUGUUUGUUUUAAUUAUAUUAAUAUUCAAUGUAUAAAAGAGAAUGGACACUUAAUCAAAUAAUAGCUAAAGUAAUUAAUAAACUUUAGUUAAAGAUAAAUUAUUAAAAAAUAUCUGAAUUCAAAUAUGAAUUCAACCGAAGGUGAGGAGGGAAGUGCAGCUUGGUGUUUUUAAUUUUUUUUCUUCUUUUUUAACAUUUUUUUUAUUUUAUUUUUAGGAUUUUUGAAUUAAAUAUAAAGGCAUAAUGUUAAUAAUACCUCUUAGUAAAAAUAACCGAUUUUUUAUUUUUCACAAAUUCUAAAAAGAGAAAGAAAGAAAAAAUUAUUAUAGUUGGUAACGAUUGAGUAACACAGGUGGACCCUAAAAUUGGAGAUCAUAUUUGGAGAUCCCUGUUAACAUAUAUUUGUUGAAUUUCUUUAAAAUGAAAUUUUAGAUAAUAAAAAUUAAUUUAAUAAUAAUAAAAAAAUAUAUAUCAAACUAAUAAACUUUUAUAUUAAUGUAUAAUUUUAUCAAUUCCUAAACUUUUGUAUUAAAUUGCAAAAUCUCAAUUCCAUGGCAAUGAUAAAAAAAGGAUAAUGUUAACUUUACUUAUAAUUUAUAUCAUUUGUCAUUGUGACUAUUCUCAAACACAUAAUAAGAUAGAGUUUAUUAUCUAAUUUAUAGUAACAAACUCUAUCUAAUUUGUAGUAACAAAUUAUAUUCUCUCUUUUUUUUUUUUUAUUUUGCAAAAAUAGGAACAAACUCAAGCUCCUUAAUAAGAUUAGGUUAUUGAUAAGAACAUUAUUGUUUUUCAACAAAUAAAUUUAUGUGUAGCGAAGAAAAACAAAGUCAAAAUAAAAAGAAGAGAAAAAAUAAAAUUAAAUUAUGCGAUGAAAAUUGAUAUAUUUUUUUUAUUAAAUCUAAAUUUUAAAUUGUAAUUAAUAAAUGGUAAUAGUAAUAUCUGAUAGAAAAUUGUUAUAUAUAAAUAUCAAUGUCGAAAAUACUCUGCACUCAACAAAAGGUUGUUGACACUUGAUAGUGAUAAUGCAUUAUUUGUGCUUCAUGGAGACUACUACUAUGUUAGUAUAUUGUAUUUCUUAUAAUUAAUUGAUCUUCAUAGUUUUGCAAUGCAUAUUGAUGAUGAUCGCAUUAGCUCGUUGCCAGAUGUAAUCUGGUGUACGCAACUAUUUUUAUAAAAGAAGUUUGAACCAACCCUAUUAGAGGCUGUUGCAAGAAACUUACGAUUAAGUAGAAUUUGUUAGGUUAAUUACGUUAAAGAAUAUAAAAGUGCAACAUAACUUAUUAUAUAAAAAUUCUUCAUAUAAUCAUUUCAAUUUUUUUUUCUUAGGCUCAAUCAUAAUUCUCAACAAACACAUCAAAAGUUUUCAUCUCAUAUGUCCCUCACUCACCCUUUGGUCUAAUGUUUUUUAUUUGUAAUUUUUGCAGAUGUUUGGCCGUGUUCAUGUUUUUCCUGCUUGAAUGCAUUUCUUGAGUUACAAAAGUGCACUAUUAAACAAUUUAGACGAGAUGAAAAUGGAUUGAAAUUUGUGCAAUAUAUUACAUUGAACUCAACAUCUUUGUAGAGUAUGACAAUUUGUUGUUCGUCUUCUAUUAAACAAUAAUUUAUUAAAAUUUAUAUCUUUCUAAUAACUAUAUUAUUUUAAAAAAAUAUUAAUUACUAAACAUUCACCAUUCUCUCAAAUGUUCAGCCAAAAAAUAAAUUACUCUAUCAAAUGUGUGGUUAAGAUGCAUAAAAUAAAAAAUAAUAAUUUUUUAAAAUAAACCCAUAGUGGAGACCAUCCUACAAACAAAGUCCAUUAAUUACUUUUAGUGAUAAAAGUCUUAAAUCUAUUUUAAUAAAAAUAUUAAUAUAUAUAAUUAUCUACCGUAAAAUUUGAUUAGUCGUGCUCUUUUUAUUUUUUACUCGUGUUGUAAUGUAAUUAUAAUUUUAAAUUGAUUGAGCAUGAAAUUGAUCUAAGUUGGCAUAUUCUAAUGAAAACACAAAAUAGAGAAUACAAAGUAAAAAGUAGAAUUAAAAAUGACAAGAAACACAAUAGUGCAAUGCAAUAAUAAGAGUUAUUAAACAAAAUAUAUCGACAAAGUAAAUAUUGGAGUUUCAAUUUUGUUUUUAAUAAGACACUGAUUGUAGAGAGAUUGACCAUCCACUAAGAGAUAUUGUUUGAAAGAGUAGAAUAGUAUAGAUGCAUAAAAAAUAAACUUAUAUAGAAAAAUUAAUAGUGAAAUGACAUUAUCCUAGUUUGUGGGGUUAUUUUAAUAAAAUUGUAUAUAAAAAAUGAAGUAUAAAUAUUUUAAAAAAUAACUAUAAAAUAUUUUAUAUAUCUGGUUAAAAAUGUGCUAUUUUUUUUCAUUAAAACGUGAUUUUUUUUUCAUAGUGAUGAUACUAUGAAAUACUCAGUUAGAGGAAAUUGAACAAUUGUAGAAACAAAAAAUAUGAGAUGUAUAUACAUUAGGUAUUUAUUAUUCUUCAUUGAGGAAACUUAGAGAGUUAUUUGCUACACUUAGAGAGGUAUGUACUACACUAUUUGACCAUCUAAAGAUGAGGUGAGAAAUAUAAUAUAGUUGUCAUCAUAUAAUAUUUCAUCCCAUCACUAAAAUUUAAGAGAUGUGUUGGCGUUAAAAAUCUAUUUUGAGGUUUUAUUUUUUUCUUUAUUUCCUUUGUUCCAAUUUUGAUUUCUACAAAUAAUUUGUGGUCUAAUAUUUUAUUUCUUUCGAGAACUCAAUCACAGAUCUUCAUAAACAAUAUCCAAAUAAAAUAACACCUUUUUUAUUCCUAAAAUGAUGCAUGAUAUACCAAAAUUCCCAAUUUGGAAAAUUCUAUAGAGAUAAUUGAAUAUUAAAUUUUUAGUUUUUCAAGAAUUGUAUAACAAAAGAUAUUCAUAAAUAGUGAUAAAGAACAAUUCAUUUUUCAAGCAAUUCUUCAUAUAUGAUUUAAUAUCAACUGUUUAUUUCUUCAGAAACUAUUUCAUAAAUUAUCUUUGCAAUCCUUCACAUAAUUUUGAUAAUUAAUCUCUUAAUUCUUUAGGAACUAUAAAACAAAUCAUCAUAUAUGAUGAUCCAAGAAAUUUUUUUUUUUAGAAAAUUAAGUAGAAAUAGUAAGAAGAAAUAAAAUCUCUAAAUUGAUUAUAUCAUUACUCUUAUGGCAGAGUUUCGUGCUAAGAACGUAUUAUAAAAUUAAUCAAAAUAAGAGUAAAAUAAAAUAUAAGAAAUUAUAGAAAAGCUAAAUUUUAGAGAACUUGAGAGACAAGAAAAAAUUAGAAAUAAAAGAAAGUAUCAUUCUACUCUUGUGUAUAUCCAUCAAGUACUUUGAACCCUCACUUUAUAAGGUCUAUAUUAAGAAGAUUUACAAAGAUAUCAAUAUCCACACUAAUAUGUACAUUAACUUAUACAUUAAUAGGUAUCUUCUAAUGUUCUUAUUCCACGUAAAUCAUGUACUCAAUGAACAUCCAUAUUCACAAUAUUCAUAUAUAACACAAAGUAUAUUUAACACUAUCAUAGGCUUAAUAUAAUCAAAGCGUAACUGAGUUUUUUUUUCUUUCUAAAAUUGUAAUAAAGUUUAAAAUAUCAUAAACUUGUAAAGUCUUAUCUCAAAGGAAAAAUGAUCUUGCAAAUUAAAAAAGAAAAAAAUUUAAACGAAACUUACUAAAUUACCCUUUAAUUUUAAUUAGUUAGUAAUUUGAACACUAUUUGUAUCAAUGUGAUACCCAUUUUACCUUGAAAAUAAAGUUGGAUAAGCUAUACAUUCAAUAUAACAAAAUUUUGUUGGAGUAUAGCAACGACAUGUUUUGUUUAUUCCUUCAAAAUCAAUGCUGAUCGUGUUUUAAAAUGAUGGAUAAUGUUCCAAUCAACAAGCUCAAUGACAAAAGAAAGGACCAUCAUUGGAGGAAACUCUCAAUAAAUUUAUGUAGGUAGUUGAAUCAUCGUGGAAGAAGCAAGAGGAGGUAAACAAGAGUCAAACUGCUUCCUUGAAAACUCUUAGAAAUGCAAGUUAGGCAGUUGCCGAAGCAAAUAACAGAAAAAACUAGCGAGAGUUUCUUUUGUAAUACUUUUGAUAUUCUAAAGAAUAAGAUUUGGAAGACCAUAAGUUUGAAUGAGCGAAAAGUGACUCGACCACCUAUUUCAAAACAACCAAAGAAGAACAUGAAAGAGGUUGUAGGAAGUUAACCAUAGCAAGAAAAGAUGGAAGAAGCUUAAAUUGAGGGUACAAAGGUCAAGAAGGAUGUGGAUAAGCCCAUGUUAAUCGAUGAAAGAAAGUGAUGAACAAUUUGCAAAGAGUAAAUACAUACUUACUGAGGCAUUGGAGCAAAUACAUACUUAUGCUAAAAUCGUGAAAGAGUUGUUGACCAAAAAGUAGAAAAUUCAAAGAAGAAGAAACGAUUGCAUUUACUGAAGAGUGCAAUCCUAUCAUUUAGAGGAAGCUUCCUCCAAAGUUAAAAGAUCAAGCAAGGUUCACUAUCCCUUGGACUAUUGAUAAACUAAUUAUUGGAAAAGCUCUUUGUGAUUUAGGUGUCAACAUAAAUCUCAUGUCUUUAUCAAUGAUGAGAAAUUUAGAAGGCAUUGAAUGCAAACCCACAAGGAUAUCAUUAUAGCUUGUGAACUGGUCUAUCAAGCGUGCUUAGAGAAUAAUGGAGGAUGUGUUGGUAAGAGUGGAUAAUUUCUUGUUUUUUUGGUAGAAUUUGUUAUCCUUGAUACAGAGGAAGAUGAAAAGUUAUCACACAUCUUGAAAAGGCCACUUUUAGCUCUCUGUAGAGCUUUGAUUGAUAUUGAACAUGAUCAACUCAUAUUGAGAUUUUAAUAAGAGGUAUUGAUCUUUAUUGAAUAAUGGAGGAUGUGCUGUAAUGAUUAGAUUAUAAGCCAAAUGCCGUAACCACAUAUUUGGUUUUCAGUUUGAAAAGCAUGUGGCAAGUAUUAGAUUAUGAAUGUUCUUGUAAUUAUUUUGGAUUUAGACAUUGGUUGGCUUGGCUUUCCUGUUAGCUAAUACAUGAUUUGUUAAUUGCUUCCUUUUCAGUGGAGCUGGAGCUCACUUGUUCAAGUCUUGGGCAACAUAUAUAAAUCGCUCAAUUAUUCUUACACAUGAGGUGAGCUUUUACUUUUCCUUGUAGUUUAUACUUAUGAAAAUCAUGCAAACCGAACUUUAAAGUUGCUGGUUUUGUAUGUUUGUCAGAAACACUAAAAUGACAACAGAAAACCGAACUUUGUGUUUUGUGGAAUAAUGUCUUUAAUGAUUUAGAAACUGAGUUUGGGUUUUGAACAAGCUGAGGAAAACGAGCCAAUAUUGAACAUAUCCUAACUUUCAUUUUCUCAAUGUUGGUUUUCAUUUAGAUUUAUUCUUUCUUUUCAUUGAACUAGGGGAAAAAGUUAAAAGUUUUCAUAAAUUGAGUUGCGAGUAGCCGAGUACCUACCUUUGAUUAAAUGAAUUUAAGAUAUCUCUAUCCUUGCCAUGAACAUGAAAGACGAGAAGAAUUUCGUUUUAGAAUAUUGCAUCGCUAUUUUGUUAGCGAUGUUACAUUUCUAAAGAAUAAGUUUUGGACAAAUUAAGAAGUAAAGUUUGAAUUCCACCCUAUUUGGUUUGUGGGUAUGUUAGGAAUUAGGAUCAGGCCUUAAUUAGGAGAGAUUAUGUUAGGUAUUGG